rnacentral:rRNA from 1 species
UACGAAGGGGGCUAGCGUUGCUCGGAAUCACUGGGCGUAAAGGGUGCGUAGGCGGGUCUUUAAGUCAGGGGUGAAAUCCUGGAGCUCAACUCCAGAACUGCCUUUGAUACUGAGGAUCUUGAGUUCGGGAGAGGUGAGUGGAACUGCGAGUGUAGAGGUGAAAUUCGUAGAUAUUCGCAAGAACACCAGUGGCGAAGGCGGCUCACUGGCCCCGAUACUGACGCUGAGGCACGAAAGCGUGGGGAGCGAACAGG